CCACAUGCAAUUGGUAAGUAAACCUAAAAUCCCAAAUCGAUAUUCCAUCCUCCGCUCUCCGCCUCUAUCUCUCUGUUCGAGAGUUCUGGAGACCAGAAAUCUAGUCUUCCAGCCACAUGCCCACAUCCUCAGUUCUCAGCUUCUCAUCAGCUCUGCCUCUCUACUCUCAGUAGGCCACAAUCCCAAUUCCCAAAUCCUAUAUCGCAAAUCGAUCCCAAAUCCAGCUAUCCAGGUACUCACCGUACUCUUCCGGCCUGGUCUCACAGUCUCUCUUUCAAGUUCCGGCCACAGUCUCGCUCUCACAUAGCAUUUAAAUUGGAAACAGCUCAAGAAUCAAGAUCAGUGUAUAUUGAGGCUUAUUAGAUCAAUGGAUCCUGCUGCCAUGAUAUAGCAAAGGGAAAAGAAGUAGCUGUGCAAAGUGAAGAUGAAGUAACUGUUGAAGCUAGAAGAUCAAAGUCUCCAAAAGAGCUGCAGCUGCAACUCCUUCAACAAGUGUCGUUGCUGGAACCUCAAAAUCUGCAAAAGCAGCAACACAAGUGCUGCUGCCACCAAGAAAAGCUAAAGGGAAAAAAAUGAAGAGGGAGGAGCAGCUGCAUAGCAUUGAGCAUGGCAGUAUGCAUGGAAGUUUCUGAGUUGAACAGUUUCUGAUUUCGGAUGUUUGGACUUUGGACUUUGGCCCUUUGUUUUGUUUUUAAUUUGUUAUGUUGUUAAGACAAUAUGUGCUGCUGUUAGUUGAUUUGUUUUUAACUUGGUGUUGAUAUUUGAUAAGUUUUGGUGUUGCUGAACUUGGUUAGUUGGUUUUGUUUUUAAUCUGAUAUGUUGAUCAGAUGACUAUUAUUUGCAGAAUGGUUGUAUUUUUCAGCAUUGCAGCCUUGCUGCUAGUGCAGAUUGCAUUGUAGAUUUGUAGUCUCUAUUUGCAGCCUUGCUGCAGAACUGCAGAUUGCAUAAAUGCAGAAUGGUUUUAUUUUCAGCU